rnacentral:rRNA from 1 species
UGGGGAAUAUUGCACAAUGGACGGAAGUCUGAUGCAGCAACGCCGCGUGCGGGAUGACGGCCUUCGGGUUGUAAACCGCUUUUUCUCAUGACGAAGUUUUUUGACGGUAGUGGGGGAAGAAGCACCGGCUAACUACGUGCCAGCAGCCGCGGUGAUACGUAGGGUGCGAGCGUUGUCCGGAAUUAUUGGGCGUAAAGAGCUUGUAGGCGGUUUGUCGCGUCGAUAGUGCAAACUCAGUGCUUAACGCUGAGCCUGCUGUUGAUACGGGCAGACUAGAGGAAGGUAGGGGAGAAUGGAAUUCCCGGUGGAGCGGUGGAAUGCGCAGAUAUCUGGAGGAACACCGGUGGCGAAGGCGGUUCUCUGGGCCUUUCCUGACGCUGAGAAGCGAAAGCGUGGGGAGCGAACAGG